GAUUACCUGCUGAACUUAAGCAUAUCACUAAGCGGAGGAAAAGAUACUAACCAGGAUUCCCCUAGUAACGGCGAGUGAAGAGGGAAUAGCCCAGCACCGAAGCCUGCGGUAGGUUUACUGCUAGGCAAUGUGGUGUUUGGGUCGACUCGCGGGAUUGCCACUCCACUCGAAGUCCAGCACUGAGUAUGGUUCCCUGGAUUUGGCCCAGAGAGGGUGAAAGGCCCGUGCGAGUGGAGGUUCAGACAUGUGAGGCAAUUCACCAGGUCGACCUUCGAGUCGGGGUGUUUGGGAAUGCAGC
rnacentral:rRNA from 1 species